CCUGCAGAAGAGGGGGCAGAAAUUAGGGCGUGAAAUGAGUAAGAGAUUUGGGAUCUGAUGGCGUUCUUCAUGGGGCCUUGAGCUGGCUGCGCCUGGCUGGCCCCAGGCCAGGGCUCGUGCCCACCAGGAAUACCAGAUCGGAGGUGACUGGCUGCUGGACGGCGACCGUAUUUACUGGGUAAGCAUCUGCAACCCCAGGAAGAUACAGGAUUUGCUGCGGAAAUACUGAGGAGAAAUCUCUACAGUUAAUAUUUGUGUGUUGAAUAAUCUAGACCAUGCUGCUAUGAGUGUCCUGACCCAACUUUCGUGUUGUCAGUACAAAAGCUCCGCAAGGACAGCGAGUGCAUCAGUCUGCUGCCAGCUGCUUCCUGAAAUAAAGUCAGAAACACCAACCUUCCUCUUCUUCCCGGUGCCGUGGCAGUGCCGUCCCCGGCCUGUGCAGACAACUUCAAACCCCAGUUAUGACUCAGGACAACUCGUCCGGCUGGGUCCCCUCACCCAGCACAAAGCUGGGCUUUCAGUGGGCCCCUCACAAAUAUAUGUCAAAUGAAGAAAGGCAUUUCCUGGGAGGCUAUUUUUUGACAGGCAGCUCUGAAUCCAGUAAUCACAUAUUCUGAAAAUGACCAUUUUUUGUUUGAAGUUGUCUUAGGAAUUACAGAAGACACUGAAAAGGUUCUGCUCCUGAUUUGAACAUGUGCCCCUUUGAGACCCUAAAUCCGAGAGGCAGGCCCUGACCGGUUGUGGCCACGUUCCCUUCUGGGGGCCUGUGUUUGGAGGAGAGGUGAGCCCUGACCGGCUGUGGCUACGUUCCCUUCUGGGGGCCUGUGUUUGGAGGAGAGGUGAGCCCUGACCGGCUGUGGCCACGUUCCCUUCUGGGGGCCUGUGUUUGGAGGAGAGCCUUUGAGCAUCACUUAGAGCAUCGCCCCCUAAACUCUGGUGUGACCUCUGGGCCUCCCGUAAAGGUGCGCAUC
ensembl:lncRNA